rnacentral:piRNA from 1 species
UUAGAGAAAUAUCAAACGCUA